rnacentral:rRNA from 1 species
UACAGAGGUCUCAAGCGUUGUUCGGAUUCAUUGGGCGUAAAGGGUGCGUAGGUGGCGCCGUAAGUCAGGUGUGAAAUUUCGGAGCUCAACUCCGAAACUGCAUUUGAUACUGCGGUGCUUGAGGACUGGAGAGGAGACUGGAAUUCACGGUGUAGCAGUGAAAUGCGUAGAUAUCGUGAGGAAGACCAGUGGCGAAGGCGGGUCUCUGGACAGUUCCUGACACUGAGGCGCGAAAGCUAGGGGAGCGAACAGG